rnacentral:lncRNA from 1 species
CUGAAAAGAGAGUCCAUGAUCACCUCACUGGAGUUAAUGACAAAGAAAAGGGAAAGCCCAGAGAUUUAGAUGGCCCAGGAAGAAGAGAACAGGGGAGAACACAGCCGUGGGCGGGUUCCCCACCUGCUCUGACAGCUGCUGCUUCGGGGAUCACUCAGCCUCAGUUCAGCCAGUCAGUCCCACCCCCUGCCUGGGGAAGCCGGAGAUAACUCAGCAGGAAAGAGUUCUGUGGAGGAGGCUUCCUGCCUGUCAGCAGGGAGGUCUCCAGGAAUACCAAGCCUUAGCGCGGUGGCAGCCAAAAGUGGAGGAGAGAGAGGAGCAGAAACACAGGCUGUAGGAAGAGAUGGGAGG